rnacentral:tRNA from 1 species
AAGGGAGACCUAAUUCAGGUAUGGGACGAAAAAAAAGUAGUCGCUACCAAGAAUCAAUCCCAAAAGGUCGGAGCGAGGCGAAAUUGGCUUUCAAACUAGGUUCUGGGUUCACACAAGACCUGAAUCAGGAACAAGGGCUAUUAGCUCAGGUGGUUAGAGCGCACCCCUGAUAAGGGUGAGGUCCCUGGUUCGAGUCCAGGAUGGCCCACCUGCACAGGUGGCAAAAACAAGAGAAGCUCCGAAUCAGCACCUUAUCUUACUUAUAUAGUAAGAGAGAAUGCUGGCUCUGAGUAAAGAGUCCAGAGGAACCUUGAAAACUGCAUAGAGCUAGGUGAAAAAGCCAAAAAAGAAGACCGCAA